rnacentral:rRNA from 1 species
UAUUUAUUAGAUAAAAAACCAAUGCCCUUCGGGGCUCCUCGGUGAAUCAUAAUAACUUAACGAAUCGCAUGGCCUUGCGCCGGCGAUGGUUCAUUCAAAUUUCUGCCCUAUCAACUUUCGAUGGUAGGAUAGUGGCCUACCAUGGUAUCAACGGGUAACGGGGAAUUAGGGUUCGACUCCGGAGAGGGAGCCUGAGAAACGGCUACCACAUCCAAGGAAGGCAGCAGGCGCGCAAAUUACCCAAUCCCGACACGGGGGGGUAGUGACAAUAAAUACUGAUACAGGGCUCUUUUGGGUCUUGUAAUUGGAAUGAGUACAAUUUAAAUCCCUUAACGAGGAACAAUUGGAGGGCAAGUCUGGUGCCAGCAGCCGCGGUAAUUCCAGCUCCAAUAGCGUAUAUUAAAGUUGUUGCAGUUAAAAAGCUCGUAGUUGAACCUUGGGCCUGGCUGGCCGGUCCGCCUCACCGCGUGUACUGGUCCGGCCGGGCCUUUCCUUCUGGGGAACCUCAUGCCCUUCACUGGGCGUGUUGGGGAACCAGGACUUUUACUUUGAAAAAAUUAGAGUGUUCAAAGCAGG